UUCUGAACACAAUGUAUUACCAAAAAAAUGCAGGAAAACAAUCAACAUGUUGACUUUUGAUAUUUUUCCGAAAGACUCAAAUAUUUAUUUUACGAACUGCGAUCUGCAUAACGUCACAUGCUGUGUACAAAAAGCAGGAUUAACCAGAGCGGGGCUGCCAAAAUGAAUGGACUGAGGCAUGUAAACAUAGUAUUCCAUUUACUGCUCGUGUUUAGUCACCUCGCCAUUAUUUCCUGGCAUUGCUAGAUCUUCAACAGUCAAGUAGAUUGCGAGGGCGGGGGGAAUAGGAGGGGGGUGUCAAGCUCCAGUUGAAACUUUUGUACUGGAUGUAAUGAAACACUCACAGAAUGUUGCUUAUUUUUUAUUGUUUUUUUUUUUUUAUUCUUAUUACUUGUCGUUUUUUUGACACGAACUCAAAUUUACAACAACGGUUAGCAAAGGACAUUGAUCUUCAAGCAUUGUGCGCCGACAAAACGCUCGCAAAUGUUGGAUUUUAUGUUCAAACCGUAUCGCUCAACCGUAACAUUACAGUAGCGUGAAUUAUUUUCUCAUAAUUAACUCGAAGUCAGUCAAGUGAGUUAGGUAAGAAGUAACCCAGCGUAUGCCAACCCCCCCCCCAAAAAUAAAAAAAUAUCCCAACGUCAUGUUGGUACAACAUGCUAAGCCAGUGAAGUGAAUCCUUACUCCACGCAAAGUCCGCCCCGCCAAAAUGCAAGUCAGAUAUCACACUGUCAAAAACCGCUAAUGUUUCUACAAAGGUUGCUUGCCGUCGGGGUUGGAAAAAUUCCGGAAAUUUUCAAUGUCAGAAACUUUCCACGGGAAGUCACUUGAAUUUGUGGGAAUGGACAGGGAUAUAUGAAAUCUAUUUGGGGAAAAUAGAUGUAGAUGUAGAUAUGUUAUUCGGAAAUAUGCUUCUAAAACAGUGACUAUCGGUUGCUAACGGUUAGCAUGUUAGCUUUAAGCUAGGCAAACUUUUUCAUAAGGUAAAUCUACGUUGCUUGACGUACACAGUGUCAUUUUUUUUUCAUGUUAAGUGCGACGUACAGUACACGUCAACCAAGAGUGCAAUUUGAAGUCUCUCUU